AGGAACUUAGGCUAAUAGAAGACCAGGGGCCUUCAAAGCCCCCAGUGAAGGUGAGAAUCCCUCAGUUCCUG
rnacentral:tRNA from 1 species